CUAGUUGGUAGGGUAAGAGCCUACCAAGGCUGCGAUCGGUAGCUGGUCUGAGAGGACGAUCAGCCACACUGGGAUUGAGAACGGCCCAGACUCCUACGGGGGGCAGCAGUGAGGAAUUUUCGGCAAUGGGGGCAACCCUGACCGAGCAACGCCGCGUGCAGGACGAAGGUCUUCGGAUCGUAAACUGCUUUUCUCUGGGAAGAGCAAAGGACGGUACCAGAGGAAGAAGCCCCGGCUAACUACGUGCCAGCAGCCGCGGUAAUACGUAGGGGGCGAGCGUUGUCCGGAGUUACUGGGCGUAAAGGGCAUGUAGGCGGUCCGAUCAGUUUGGGGUUACAGCUCCCGGCUCAACUGGGAGAGCGCCUCGAAGACGGUGGGACUUGAGAGCCAGAGAGGGACACAGAAUUCCGGGUGUAGUGGUGAAAUGCGUAGAUAUCCGGAGGAAUACCAAAGGCGAAGGCAGUGUCCUGGCUGAUUUCUGACGCUGAGGUGCGAAAGCUAGGGGAGCGAACGGGAUUAGAUACCCCGGUAGUCCUAGCCGUAAACGAUGACCACUAGGUGUGCGGGGUAUCGACCCCCUGCGUGCCGCAGCUAACGUGAUAAGUGGUCCGCCUGGGGAGUACGGUCGCAAGAUUAAAACUCAAAGGAAUUGACG
rnacentral:rRNA from 1 species